AAGGGAGUAGCUCAAUCGGAUGAGAGCGGUGGUCUUCGAAACCACAGGUUGCAGGUUCGAUCCCUGUCUCCCUUGCCA
rnacentral:tRNA from 1 species